CAAUAGCGUAUAUUUAAGUUGUUGCAGUUAAAAAGCUCGUAGUUGGAUUUUGGGUCGGGGGCACCGGUCCGCCGUUCCGGUGUGCACUGGUGGCCCCUUCCUUUCUGCCGGGGACGUGCGUCGCACUUAAUUGGGUGGCGUUCGGAGUCGGCGUUGUUACUUUGAAAAAAUUAGAGUGUUCAAAGCAAGCCAUCGCUCUGAAUACAUUAGCAUGGAAUAACAUGAUAGGACUCCGGUCUUAUUUUGUUGGUUUCCGAGACUGGAGUAAUGAUUAAGAGGGACAGUCGGGGGCAUCCGUAUUUCAUUGUCAGAGGUGAAAUUCUUGGAUUUAUGAAAGACGAACUUCUGCGAAAGCAUUUGCCAAGGAUGUUUUCAUUGA
rnacentral:rRNA from 1 species